AUUGAACGCUGGCGGCAGGCCUAACACAUGCAAGUCGAGCGCGCGGCGCACGGGUGUGUAUUGUAUGGGGACCAGUCCGAUAGAGGGGGAUAACUAUUGGAAACGGUGGCUCUUAUCGCACAUUAUCGGAUGAAUCCAUAUGGGAUUAGCUAGUAGGUGGGGUAAUGGCUAACCUAGGCGACGAUCCCUAGCUGGUCUGAGAGGAUGAUCAGCCACACUGGAACUGAGACACGGUCCAGACUCCUACGGGAGGCAGCAGUGGGGAAUAUUGCACAAUGGGCGCAAGCCUGAUGCAGCCAUGCCGCGUGUAUGAAGAAGGCCCUAGGGUUGUAAAGUACUUUCAGUGGGGAGGCGUUACCGGCAGAAGAAGCACCGGCUAACUCCGUGCCAGCCGCCGCGGUAAUUC
rnacentral:rRNA from 1 species